rnacentral:rRNA from 1 species
CCUUAAUAGCGGAUGCACCAUUAGGAUGUCCUGAUCCAACAUCGAGGUCGUAAACCCCCUCGUCGAUAGGGACUCUGGGAGAGGAUUGCGCUGUUAUCCCUAGGGUAACUCGGUCCGUUGAUCGGCGUUCGCCGGAUCAUUUUUGGUCAGAAAUUCUGGUACUUAGAGUUGUGGCUCUUGGUUGUGGGGGCAGUGCCCCCAGUCCACAUGGGGGCUUUGUUUUCCCCCGCGGUCGCCCCAACCAAAGACAUAGGGGCUAGGGGUCACUGUGUUUUUACCUGUUAAUUUAAGGUUACUUGACGUGAUCUGCCUGGUGUCUAAAGCUCCAUAGGGUCUUCUCGUCUUAUGUGUUUAUGUCCGCUUCUGCACGGG